CCUACGGGUGGCAGCAGUAAGGAAUAUUGCGCAAUGGGCGAAAGCCUGACGCAGCGACGCCGCGUGGGGGAUGAAGGUCUUCGGAUUGUAAACCCCUUUUGGGAGGGAAAAUGGGACGGGCAACCGUCCGGAUGGUACCUCCAGAAAAAGCCACGGCUAACUUCGUGCCAGCAGCCGCGGUAAUACGAAGGUGGCAAGCGUUGUUCGGAUUUACUGGGCGUACAGGGAGCGUAGGCGGUUUGGUAAGCCCUCCGUGAAAUCUUCGGGCUCAACCCGGAAAGUUCAGAGGGGACUGCCAGGCUAGAGGACGGGAGAGGAGCGCGGAAUUCCCGGUGUAGCGGUGAAAUGCGUAGAGAUCGGGAGGAAGGCCGGUGGCGAAGGCGGCGCUCUGGAACGUUUCUGACGCUGAGGCUCGAAAGCGUGGGGAGCAAACAGGAUUAGAUACCCGAGUAGUC
rnacentral:rRNA from 1 species